GGGUUGUGAGGUUAAGCGACUAAGCGUACACGGUGGAUGCCCUGGCAGUCAGAGGCGAUGAAGGACGUGCUAAUCUGCGAUAAGCGUCGGUAAGGUGAUAUGAACCAUUAUAACCGGCGAUUUCCGAAUGGGGAAACCCAGUGUGAUUCGUCACACUAUCAUUAACUGAAUCCAUAGGUUAAUGAGGCGAACCGGGGGAACUGAAACAUCUAAGUACCCCGAGGAAAAGAAAUCAACCGAGAUUCCCCCAGUAGCGGCGAGCGAACGGGGAGCAGCCCAGAGCCUGAAUCAGUGUGUGUGUUAGUGGAAGCGUCUGGAAAGGCGUGCGAUACAGGGUGACAGCCCCGUACACAAAAAUGCACAUAUUGUGAGCUCGAUGAGUAGGGCGGGACACGUGGUAUCCUGUCUGAAUAUGGGGGGACCAUCCUCCAAGGCUAAAUACUCCUGACUGACCGAUAGUGAACCAGUACCGUGAGGGAAAGGCGAAAAGAACCCCGGCGAGGGGAGUGAAAAAGAACCUGAAACCGUGUACGUACAAGCAGUGGGAGCACGCUUAGGCGUGUGACUGCGUACCUUUUGUAUAAUGGGUCAGCGACUUAUAUUCUGUAGCAAGGUUAACCGAAUAGGGGAGCCGAAGGGAAACCGAGUCUUAACUGGGCGUUAAGUUGCAGGGUAUAGACCCGAAACCCGGUGAUCUAGCCAUGGGCAGGUUGAAGGUUGGGUAACACUAACUGGAGGACCGAACCGACUAAUGUUGAAAAAUUAGCGGAUGACUUGUGGCUGGGGGUGAAAGGCCAAUCAAACCGGGAGAUAGCUGGUUCUCCCCGAAAGCUAUUUAGGUAGCGCCUCGUGAAUUCAUCUCCGGGGGUAG
rnacentral:rRNA from 1 species